AGUGAACGCUGGCGGCGUGCCUAAUACAUGCAAGUCGAACGGAGUGGCGCACGGGUGAGUAAUGUAUAGCUAAUCUUCCCCUUGCUGGAGGACAACAGUUAGAAAUGACUGCUAAUACUCCAUAGCAAGGGAUGAGACUAUCUCGUAUCAGCUAGUCGGUGGGGUAACGACCUACCGAGGCUAUGAUGCGUAACUGGUCUGAGAGGAUGAUCAGUCACAUUGGAACUGAGACACGGGCCAAAAUCCUACGGGAGGGAGCAGUAGGGAAUAGUGCGAAAUGGGGGAGACCCUGAAGCAGCAACGCCGCGUGGAGGAUGACACUUUUCGGAGCGUAAACUCCUUUUGUUAGGGAAGCGGUACCUAACGAAUAAGCACCGGCUAACUCCGUGCCAGCAGCCGCGGUAAUUC
rnacentral:rRNA from 1 species